GAAAGACUUACUACACCAAAGAAAAGAUAUUGAAAAAAGAAAAGUAUAAUGCUAAUAAAUUAUUAAGUUGGGGAAUUCUUUUUGAUGAAGUAUGCUGGUCGUGUUUCACCACCUUUAACAGCUGCAAAAGGUUUGACUCUGAUAUAUGAAAAAAUUUCCUCUGCGGGGCUAAAAUUUUGAUAAAUGUUGUGUGAUGAAAACUGAAAUAGAAGAAGCAAAAGAAAAUGACUCGAAGAACCAAACAAGUAACAGGAAAACCGCAAAAAACCUACAACACCGUCGAUCAACGAGGUGGAAUUUAGGGAAAAGUUUCACCCAAUGGUGAUGGG